UAACCUGCCCAAGAGAUCGGGAUAACACCUGGAAACAGAUGCUAAUACCGGAUAACAACAGAUGAUGCCUAUCAACUGUUUAAAAGAUGGUUCUGCUAUCACUCUUGGAUGGACCUGCGGUGCAUUAGCUAGUUGGUAGGGUAACGGCCUACCAAGGCGAUGAUGCAUAGCCGAGUUGAGAGACUGAUCGGCCACAUUGGGACUGAGACACGGCCAAAACUCCUACGGGAGGCAGCAGCC
rnacentral:rRNA from 1 species